rnacentral:pre_miRNA from 9 species
UCCCGAUAGCGUAAAAGUUAACUCAGAUUAGUAUGAAGUUGGAACGUUUGCCUACGUUUGCCGCUAGGGGCGCUGUUCGAACUGCAUACAAAUUUGAGUUAACUUUAACGCUAUCGA